GUCCUUUAUCUGCAGCACCUUACCUGCCUGCUGUGUUUGACUCUCAGGGGACAGUUCCUCUCCUUUGGAAUCUCUUUGGCCUUCAGCGAUCUUAACAGCCACAGCACGACAGAUUGCUCCAAUCUUCCUCUCCAGGGAGCGCACGCCCGCCUCACGUGUGUACCUGUCCAGUGUACAUUUAAAAAGCGAGGUGGGUGAAGAAGCUGGAUUCAAACCGGGAACCCUGAAGUUCCAAGCUGACCAAUCUACCAUCUGAG